GAGGGUAUAGUUCAGUGGUAGAGUGUAUACUUAGCAUGCACGAGGUCCUGGGUUCUAAACCCCAGUACUUCCA
rnacentral:tRNA from 1 species